GAGGGGGAGGACCAACCAACAAGAACUGCUAACUCUUGCCUCUGAGCCUAAAACCUCAGCCCCCUUA
rnacentral:tRNA from 1 species